rnacentral:tRNA from 1 species
GCCGGGAUAGCUCAUUUGGUAAAGCAAAGGACU